rnacentral:lncRNA from 1 species
AUAACAUAGGAAUUUUAAGAUCCCCGUAGUAUAUCGAUCUUUAAAUCCAAGGAUAAGCCUAAUUUCUUUUAGGCUCUCUUCCAGGAUAUUCAAAAUGCUAACGAGACAAAUAACCUGAUCAGCAGGGAACCUACAGAAGAGGUCUGAAAUCCUCUACCAGAGAGGUUAAACAACAAACAAAAAGACGCAACAGCAGCAUCUCCAUGACUCUACAACUUAGAAUACCAUCAAAGUAGAAAAUCAUCACAUGCUUCCCUUGUUCUAGUGAAGAAGCUUAACCUACUAAGCAGACAGGAGGACUAGGCAAGUUGAUACAAAUAAUGUGUGAGAGAAGGUAGAGGCAAUGGUGAACUACAAAAACAAAGUUACUUUGAGAGAGACUACGGGAAAAAAACUUUUUAUAAUGAUUAAAAAAUUUGUGAUGAAUGAUGAUUGGGAAGAAGUGGAUGUUUAGCAGUUAGCAUUUGGUUCAGCAUAGUAGGCCUUACCACGUUUUGUGAACCUCAAUUAUCAUAAAGUACACAGUUAGUUGAAUCGCUUUGUCGGCGUUCAUCCACAUCACCCAUUGUUUUAGUUGGAAGUAUAACUAAUUCUAAGCAGGGAUUUUGGGAUUUUGAAGUCAAGAAGGAAUAUACAGACCCUCUAUCAUCAAAAACUUGGACAAAAGACUAUCAUAGGCAGUGCUACACAACACAAUCACAUUACUAAAUUCGAGUUGAUUUCUAUAGAUAAGAUCUUCCAUUUUAAGCUUAAGAUUUGCUAGGUUGUUGAGACAUUCAUAGGGUUCUCUCAUUUAGUUUGAUAUAUUUUUCAGAAGAGGGAAAACAAUUACUAAUGAAUCGUGCUAUAAACAUCAUUUUUUUAAUUUAAAUUAAUUUAUUAGGAGGUAGGGCCUGACAGUUGGCAAAAUUAGACCCUCUCAAAGAUUAGUUUCCAACAUAUCAACGGCAGGUAAUUUGAACUCUCCUACAGAAAGAAACGAAGAAAAUACUAAAGGCUCACAACCUGAUGAAGACCAGCGCCAUGGUGCUAGACUUUUAGACCUGUGUCACCAGCAACAUAAAUGGACAUGAGGCGGUUAUUCAGCACUGUAACAGUAGGUCAGAGGACCUAACCCUUUUUAGCAGUUUAUAAAUACAAAAGACAUGAGUUCUUUUUUUUUCCUUUUAUAAUCUUUCUCCUAAUGGAUAUUAUCUAAUCUUGAUCUUAGUGCCUCUAGUCAUAUCCAUCAAUUAGAUUAAGGAUCAUUAUCCAUCAGCCACAUUAAUUGAAUAAUCUGAAGGAACUUGAAAAAAAAAAUGGAUUUAGUCCUAAGUGAGUAUUGGUUUGAUUUGUGUAUAAGUUAGACAUAUGGUUGCAAAUCACAUGUCUCCAUAUUAGCAUUGAAUCUAGUAUCUUCUUAAGCUCAUAUGUAGCCUAUGAUUAAAGGGAUAGGUUCAUAUGACAUAGAUAUAUGCUUGUAAAGAAUUGAGAAGUCUAGGACAACUCAUGUCAUUAAGAUCAGUCAAGAAAGUAGAAGAGACUCAAUGAAACAUCUAAUGAAUUCAGAUUGCAAUAAUUUGUUGAUAGUAUUCCAAUCAAAGAUUUAAUUUGGAAUAGUUUAUCUACAAAUGUUAUACACCCAUAAUUCAUGUCAUUCAAAUAAAAUUAGAGUGAACACAAUAUCAUAAAUUUUCAGAAGUGUGAAUUGCUGGAAAUAAAUCUCCAAUGAGAUGAUAACCAUUCUGCAUAAAUAACAUACUGUUGUGACAGCUGUCUAUUAACAUAUCUAGCAAAAGUCAAUCUGUAAUAUUAAGAAGCUAGUGAGAAAAGCAGAGAGUGGUUCCGUGAUAUGUGCAAAACACACUUCAGGAUGUUUUGUUUUUUAGCCAAAGUCCUACAGCUGCAUGCCAGUGCCUAGGAUUAGACGAUAUUCAGAUUGAAUAUACAAAUGCAAGAUCCAUGUGUAUGCCUAAUACUAGACCUGCCGGUGAUGUCUUUGUAUAAAUCCAAGACCACUAA